UACGUAGGGUGCGAGCGUUGUCCGGAAUUACUGGGCGUAAAGAGCUCGUAGGUGGUUUGUCGCGUUGUCCGUGAAAACUCACAGCUUAACUGUGGGCGUGCGGGCGAUACGGGCAGACUGGAGUACUGCAGGGGAGACUGGAAUUCCUGGUGUAGCGGUGGAAUGCGCAGAUAUCAGGAGGAACACCGGUGGCGAAGGCGGGUCUCUGGGACGGUACUGACGCUGGAGACGCGAAAGCGUGGGGAGCGAACAGG
rnacentral:rRNA from 1 species